rnacentral:lncRNA from 1 species
UCUAAUCCUAACGGAACAUGCAUUUGUUAGUCAAAAACUAGAUUAAAACUAUUUAAAAUGCUAAGUCAAAAUUUAAUCCUAAAGAAACAUGCAUUUAAAAUGGUAAAAUAAGUCCUUUAAGGGGCAAAAUGGUCAUUUCAUAUGAAUAUUCAAUUUAAGGAUAAAAUUAAAUCCUAAUCAACAUCCUGACUAAAAUCUAAAAAUUAAUCAAGUUCUAAGAAAAGUAGUUUAAUCAAAUCAAAGAAACCUAAUUAUUUUUAAAAAUCUAACUAAACUAAAAAAUAACAAUUAAUAUUUUAAUUAAUCCUAAUUUUUAUUCUACUUAAAUAUCCUAAUUCUAAUUAGUCAUAAAAAUCUAACUUAAUUAAACUAAUCCUAAAAAACUCUAAAUGGCCUAAUUAAUAAAAAUAAAACUAAACAAAAAACAACAAAAUGA